UUUUUAGAGAUCAUAAUAAAGUGCACCUCGAAGGAGCAAAUAGAGUGCUAUCUCAACUUUGUGCGGGUUCACCCGGAUAAAGUUGCAUAAAAACGACCCAUCGCGGUCGAAAAGAAUGGAGGAGCUUUGGGCUGAACUCUCCGUGCAAUUAAAUGCCCUAAAAGGGCCCACCCGGAACCCCAUACAAUGGAGAGAGAAUCUGAGCCACUGGAAAAACCAAAUAAGGUCACGUGCAAGGAAAGUCAAGGCGCACAAGCUGGUGACGGGUGGCGGACCCAGCUAAACAAGUGAGCUCUCUGAAACGGAGCAGAGAGCGUUAGAAACGUUAGGGUCAAUUGCGGUUAAUGGGUUGACUGAUGUACCAGCCAUUGGCACAGAGGAAGAAGUAGUUUUCACAGCUGCACCAUCACCCCUAAAUACGACUUCGUAUGCGUCCAAUGAUUGCACUCCGUCAUCGUCCCGUAGUAAAAAAAUUACGACGGACGAAAUGUUCCGAAAUUAUAUGGAUUUAAUGAAAGGAAAAGCCGAGGAGGAGAGAGCUUUCCGGAUUCAAACUUUAGAUUCCAUUAAUAAACAUACGGAAUCCAUUAAUAACUUAGCGGCAGCGAUGGUAUCGCUUGCUCAGACCAUCG